AAGAGGCUCGUGCUCAAGAAAUGCAAGCAAAGAAUGCUGCCCUUGGAAAGAAAGUGAAAGAAACUUCAGCUACAAAGGUUAUCAAGGGCCGAGGUGAGGCUUCCUUUUACAGAGUUACAUGCAAGGAUAAUGGAAAAGGAAUGCCACAUGAUGACAUCCCAAAUAUGUUUGGCCGAGUUCUAUCCGGGACAAAAUAUGGUUUAAAACAGACGCGGGGAAA